CUUUCAAAGACGGAGCUCGAGCCGUUGCAGGGUUUCUCGUCAUCGUCACAACAUUUUUGAAUCCAACGAGAUACGUGCUACCUCUGAAGGACUUUACUGUUAUCGAUGAAACUUUAGAGAACUUCGGAGUACGUGUAAAUAACGAAAGCACCUUUAGGUGGCAACUGUUACAAAUAAUUUUUUUCGUCGCGACGCCAUUUCUGCUGUCCGUCUGGAAUUUCUACAUUUACAACGAGCCAACACGCAACAAAUAUUUCAGUAUGAUGAUGACGGGUCACAUUUUCACCAUAACGUCACUGUUCAGUUAUGGAAUGGUAGAUUGUUCCUUCUGC
rnacentral:misc_RNA from 1 species